rnacentral:rRNA from 1 species
ACGAACGCUGGCGGCGUGCUUAACCCCUGCAAGUCGCACGGAAAGGCCCUGCUUUUGUGGGGUGCUCGAGUGGCGAACGGGUGAGUAACACGUGAGUAACCUGCCCUUGACUUUGGGAUAACUUCAGGAAACUGGGGCUAAUACCGGAUAGGAGCUCCUGCUGCAUGGUGGGGGUUGGAAAGUUUCGGCGGUUGGGGAUGGACUCGCGGCUUAUCAGCUUGUUGGUGGGGUAGUGGCUUACCAAGGCUUUGACGGGUAGCCGGCCUGAGAGGGUGACCGGCCACAUUGGGACUGAGAUACGGCCCAGACUCCUACGGGAGGCAGCAGUGGGGAAUAUUGCACAAUGGGCGGAAGCCUUAUGCAGCAACGCCGCGUGCGGGAUGACGGCCUUCGGGUUGUAAACCGCUUUCGCCUGUGACGAAGCGUGAGUGACGGUAAUGGGUAAAGAAGCACCGGCUAACUACGUG